GGGCUUGUGGCGCAACGGUAGCGCGUUCGACUCCAGCUACCAUUGAGGCUAUCGAAAGGUUAUCCGUUCAAAUCGGGUCAGGCUCA